GAAAUGCGAUAAGUAGUGUGAAUUGCAGAAUUCAGUGAAUCAUCGACUCUUUGAACGCACAUUGCGCCCCUUGGUAUUCCAUGGGGCAUGCCUGUUCGAGCGUCAUCUACACCCUCAAGCUCUGCUUGGUGUUGGGCGUCUUUGUCCCGCCUCCGCGCGCGGACUCGCCCCAAAUUCAUUGGCAGCGGUCCUUGCCUCCUCUCGCGCAGCACAUUGCGCUUCACGAGGUGUUGCGGCCCGCGUCCAGAAAGCAAUCGUUACCGUCUUUGACCUCGGAUCAGGUAGGGAUACCCGCUGAACUUAAGC
rnacentral:misc_RNA from 1 species